rnacentral:rRNA from 1 species
ACUCCUACGGGAGGCAGCAGUAGGGAAUCUUCGGCAAUGGACGGAAGUCUGACCGAGCAACGCCGCGUGAGUGAAGAAGGUUUUCGGAUCGUAAAGCUCUGUUGUAAGAGAAGAACGAGUGUGAGAGUGGAAAGUUCACACUGUGACGGUAUCUUACCAGAAAGGGACGGCUAACUACGUGCCAGCAGCCGCGGUAAUACGUAGGUCCCGAGCGUUGUCCGGAUUUAUUGGGCGUAAAGCGAGCGCAGGCGGUUAGAUAAGUCUGAAGUUAAAGGCUGUGGCUUAACCAUAGUACGCUUUGGAAACUGUUUAACUUGAGUGCAAGAGGGGAGAGUGAAUUCCAUGUGUAGCGGUGAAAUGCGUAGAUAUAUGGAGGAACACCGGUGGCGAAAGCGGCUCUCUGGCUUGUAACUGACGCUGAGGCUCGAAAGCGUGGGGAGCAAACAGGAUUAGAUACCCUGGUAGCGUCGUCU